rnacentral:rRNA from 1 species
GACGAACGCUGGCGGCGUGCUUAACACAUGCAAGUCGAACGAAGAGCGAUGGAAGCUUGCUUCUAUCAAUCUUAGUGGCGAAUGGGUGAGUAACGCGUAAUCAACCUGCCCUUCAGAGGGGGACAACAGUUGGAAACGACUGCUAAUACCGCAUACGAUCUAACCUCGGCAUCGAGGAAAGAUGAAAGGUGGCCUCUAUGUAUAAGCUAUCACUGAAGGAGGGGAUUGCGUCUGAUUAGCUAGUUGGAGGGGUAACGGCCCACCAAGGCGAUGAUCAGUAGCCGGUCGGAGAGGAUGAACGGCCACAUUGGGACUGAGACACGGCCCAGACUCCUACGGGAGGCAGCAGUGGGGAAUCUUCCGCAAUGGACGAAAGUCUGACGGAGCAACGCCGCGUGAGUGAUGACGGCCUUCGGGUUGUAAAGCUCUGUUAAUCGGGACGAAAGGCCUUCUUGCGAAUAGUGAGAAGGAUUGACGGUACCGGAAUAGAAAGCCACGGCUAACUACGUG